GGCACAGAACGCGUCCGGCAACACCGCGCUGCACAUCUGCGCCCUCUACAACAAGGAGAGCUGCGCCCGGAUCCUCCUGUACCGCGGGGCCAACAAGGAGGUGAAGAACAACAGCGGGCAGACGCCGUUCCAGGUGGCCGUCAUCGCCGGGAACUUCGAGCUGGG